UACGGAGGGUGCAAACGUUGCUCGGAAUCAUUGGGCGUAAAGCGCACGUAGGUGGCCUGUUAAGUCGGGUGUGAAAUCCCUGGGCUCAACCCAGGAAGUGCACCCGAAACUGGCGGGCUUGAGUACUGAAGAGGGUCGCGGAAUUCCCGGUGUAGAGGUGAAAUUCGUAGAUAUCGGGAGGAACACCAGUGGCGAAGGCGGCGACCUGGGCAGAUACUGACACUGAGGUGCGAAAGCGUGGGGAGCAAACAGG
rnacentral:rRNA from 1 species